rnacentral:tRNA from 1 species
GCCUGGGUGGCUCAGUGGUUGAGCGUCUGCCUUUGACUCAGGUCGUGAUCCCGGGGUCCUGGGAUUGAGUCCCACAUCGGGCU